AAAUCUGGUUGAUCCUGCCAGAGGCGACCGCUUUUGGAGUUCGAUUAAGCCAUGCGAGUAGAAUGAAUUAGAUCAUUGCAAACUGCUCAGUAACACGUGGAUAACCUGCCCUAUGCUCCGGGAUAACCU
rnacentral:rRNA from 1 species